UCUAAUAUGGCAGAUUAGUGCAAUGAACUUAAGAUUCUUAUAUAAAUAUACAUAUUUUAUUAGAA
rnacentral:tRNA from 1 species